UGCGUAGGCGGAUUAAUAAGUCAGUGGUGAAAACCUGCAGCUUAACUGUAGAACUGCCAUUGAUACUGUUAGUCUUGAGUACGGUCAAGGUAGGCGGAAUGUGUAAUGUAGCGGUGAAAUGCUUAGAUAUUACACAGAACACCGAUUGCGAAGGCAGCUUACUGGACCAUUACUGACGCUGUGGCACGAAAGCGUGGGGAGCGAACAGGAUUAGAUACCCUGGUAGUCC
rnacentral:rRNA from 1 species